GGUUAAACUUGUUAAACUUGCAUAUGUUGUUUGCUUAAAGCAAUUGGUGGCUGAUUUUUAAUGCCUUUACUUUUGUUGCUACAUUUUGGCAUUUUGCUUAUGAAUGCUUGAUUUAUGUUCUUGCACUUCUGCUCAUUAUCUAAGAUAUGGUUAAAUAUUCUUUAUGGAAGAAGACUAUACCAUUGUUUGGAUUAUUAUCUGUAUUGCUUAAAUUACAUGACAUAAUUUCACAAGCCAGCACUCAUACAACUCAUAUUCUUUGUGCUAUUUAUGGAUAUACACCAGUUAUGAGUCUAACUUUCCUGUGUGUUAAUUUUGGGGGGUUAGACAAUUUAGAUACUAGUAUGCAUAUUAUGCCAGUGAUCUAUAGCCAGAUCCACAGUUGGUAGUGACCAAUGGUAGUUGUCCUAGUUUAUGUGAUGCUGUAACUUGCCCAGUUGGAUCUCUUUUUUGGUUGGUGGAAUUUGGAUCUCUCAAGCUACUAGCUUGCUUAAGUUCAAAAAAGAAAGUUACUAGUUUGCUCUUAGGAUUUCCUUAAUUUGUUCUUGAAGUACAUUCCUAGCUUAUAUUUUCGUAUCAUUAUAAAUUUGAGGUAAUACAAGCACUGGUUGUAUUUAUUGCCUUUCAAAACUCAUAGUAAUGUUGACUCCAGGUCAAGGCUUGCUGCAACAACUGUUUCAUUACCUAGC
rnacentral:misc_RNA from 1 species